UCACGCACAGGGACGUUCACGCAGGGCCCACGCACGGCACGUCGGCGCACGGCACGUCGGCGCACGGGUUCCGCUCUCGGACCUGGGAGACAGGGGUUUGCGGCGGCUCCACGCCAGUGGUUGAAGGAGCAGUGCAACUCUUCUAAAAUAAAAUCUUAUGUGGAAUCCCAGAUAUAUGAAGUGAAUUCAGGAUUCACACUGCGGGCGUGCACGUGUGGCGAGUCUUCCUCACAGCAGAGUCACUAGCAGCCCAAGGUGACGGCCCUUCUUUUCAGCUCCGGGUCUGAGGGUUGGAGACGCCAAACCCCGCCGGUUGAAGAGUCGAGUGUGUCACAGCUCCAUAAGCACAGACGGUGCAGUCCUGUGGACUCGAUGCUGAAAUCCUGGGCUUCUGCCCUAUGUCCUCCCUUCUACUUGAACUCCCUGAGUCGGAUAAGGACAGAGACCUCCGAGAGCGGCAUGGAAAGCAGAGGCAUUAAUCGUAGCAGGUGGCUCUACGUCACGGUGUGGGAGACUCUCCGUCAUCCUGGGCAGACGGAGAGGCCCACCCCACCUCCCUCCCUGGCUGCUCACCUGAGCGGCUUGUUCUCUGGGCCCAUGUCGGUGAGACCCAUCUCCUCCAGUUUGCGGCGCCGGUACAGCUCAUAGUGCCUCGUGUGUGUCUCGUCUCGCAGGUCCUCCAUGUUCGUACAAAUGAGCAUCUCCCGGAGCUUGACAAAGUCGCAGUGGUUUUCAUUUUCCACUAGCCAGAAAACAGAAAACAGCAACACCGAUUUUUAAUCCUGACAUAUAAUUAGUAUUUGUUGAAUGGACGAGUAAAUGAAAACACAUUUGAAAUAACCCAAACAGCGAAAUGAUCAGUCUGAUUAACAGCUACAGUUGUUUUAUACAAGUAACCAAGGAA